AAGAAGAGAAACUGUUGGGGAAGCCCAGGUCAAGGCAAUGACUAGCUUCCCUUUUUCCUUCCACCUUUGUUUAGAGCAGACAGAUUGCAUCCCUGAAAGGAUGUGGAUGUCUGCUCUCCAUCAGUGUCCUACACCUGGACCUAAGGAGCAGCACUAAGGAUUGGAGAUAAUUCAACCCAGGAAGAACCCUGGGAGCCCAGCUCCUUCAGGGAAGAGUGAGCUUGCCCUGCAGUGGGGUGAAUGACAACACAGGGGCAAGAGACAUAAAGAGACAGUUGUCUAGUCUAGGCUGAGAGCCAGCAUACUAUACACCACCUGGGGGCCUCAAGAUGGUUAUCCAGAAAAUGAACACACAGUGAUCACUUGUGAAAAGUCUGGGAAAUUGUAAUACGGGAGCUUUAAUGGAUUAGAAGCCCCAGUGCAAGAUUCUAGUGCAAUAUAAAGGGCUUGUCUACACUUACCGGGGAAUCAAUGCAAGGUGAUCGAUGCAUCGGCAGUCGAUUUAGUGGGUCUAGUGAAGAUCAGUUAAAUCGACCACAGAAUGCUCUCCUGCUGACUGCUGUACUCCACCUGAACA